GAGGCAUUGGUCUUCCCAGGGAAGACAAGAUGUGUGCCAUGGCAGUCUCAUAUGAGGGAAAAUCAGUCUUCAUGAAUCAAGUCAGUAAAGAGGAAGGUGGAAAGAAGGAAGCUGCAUUUUAUUUCAUAUUUAACAGCAGGAUUGCUGAAAACAUAAAUAUUUUAAUUUUUAGGCACACAUUUUAAAGAAAAAAAGUAGUUAAUCUCCCGAGGAAACAAGAAAUAUUCUGUAUGGGUUUUCCCUCUUCAUUCUCUUUGCCCUUCCUGUCAAGGAACUGCAUACCAACCUGCUUCUGGCCCAUUGUGCCCUCAUCCCUCCUGACUAUACUCUCAUUUUUAUGACCCAAACAGCAGUCCCAAAAGCUCCUUUCUCAGGGGCUUGUGACAUGUAUCUGGGCUGUGACUCACCUGCAGCACUCCGGGCAUCGUGUUGGUUGGUGACAGUAAGGACACCCUGUCUUACAGCAAGCAGAGCCUAACUGAGGAACUCGUGAUGUGAGCCCUAGGCAGGAGCUGGACGUGGGCAGCAGCAGCAGGAGCAGCCUGGUGUGGAGCUUCCUGGAGAACACCCACAGUUUUACAAAGCAAUAGCACACCUCAGAAGAGAUGCUUGAUUUCAAGAAAGAAAACUAUCCACGGCAGGUUGAAGCCACAGGGGCAGUCCUGACUUGCCUUUCUCCAUCCAACUACUUUACUUCAGAAAGUGUCCCUUCAAAAAACAGCAACUCCCAGGGAUCAGUGCCUAACACGACCAAAGAUCUGAAGAUGAACAGAAGUGACUUGAACAGAAGAGAAGAAAGAACAGAGUGAUUUGGAUUAAAUAAUCCAGUAUUCAGUAACAGUCAUCUGUGCACUUAAUGGGAUAGGUGUCUUAUCAAAAACAGAA
rnacentral:lncRNA from 1 species